rfam:Triticum aestivum genome assembly, contig: Triticum_aestivum_CS42_TGACv1_scaffold_486302_6AS
CAUGUACUCCCUCCGUCCGGAAAUGGAUGUAUCUAGACGUAUUUUAGUUUUAGAUACAUCCAUUUUUAUCCAUUUCUCUGACAAGUAUUUCCGGACGGAGGGAGUAUCAC